UUUGCCCUUCUCCUGAAUGGGUUCAGAGUUGAGUUCAUUCUAUUUUUAUAGAAAACAAAGUCUAAAGAAGUGGCAGAUACAACAAAAUCACUGAUUGGUAAAAUCAGUGACAGAUAUAAAGUAAAGACUGAUGAGAAAAGCAAAGCAAGAGACUCCUUGGGUUUUAACAGGUCACAUUUAAAUAAAUCCCAUAUCCGUGAGGAAGAAGUUCAGGAUAGAAACCUGAAAAACACUACUUCUCUUAAUGUAACUGCUGGUCAUAUUAAGU
rnacentral:lncRNA from 1 species